rnacentral:rRNA from 1 species
AACGAACGCUGGCGGCGCGCCUAAUACAUGCAAGUCGAGCGAGAAGGUGUAGCAAUACACUUGUAAAGCGGCGAACGGGUGAGGAAUACAUGGGUAACCUACCCUCGAGUGGGGAAUAACUAGCCGAAAGGUUAGCUAAUACCGCGUACGCUUCCGGGACUGCGGUUCCGGAAGGAAAGCGAUACUGUGAGUAUCGCGCUCUUGGAUGGGCUCAUGUCCUAUCAGCUUGUUGGUGAGGUAACGGCUCACCAAGGCUUCGACGGGUAGCUGGUCUGAGAGGACGAUCAGCCACACUGGCACUGCGACACGGGCCAGACUCCUACGGGAGGCAGCAGUAAGGAAUAUUGCGCAAUGGACGACAGUCUGACGCAGCGACGCCGCGUGGGGGACGAAGGUCUUCGGAUUGUAAACCCCUUUCGGGAGGGAAGAUGGAAUGGGGUAACCUAUUCGGACGGUACCUCCAGAAGCAGCCACGGCUAACUUCGUGCCAGCAGCCGCGGUAAC